GUUUUGGUGGCUCAAUCGGAUAGAGCGUUGGAUUUCUAAUCCAAAGGUUGGGGGUUCAAGUCCCGCCCAGAGUA
rfam:Perkinsus marinus ATCC 50983 gcontig_1104296725962, whole genome shotgun sequence.